GCAAACAUUUAGUGAGUCUCGGAUAUGCAUCUGGGACUAUAAUGGGUCUUAACAUUCUCUUCUAAUUUUUUAAUUUUAUUUUUUUAAUUUGUGAGACAGGGUUUCUCUGUGUAGCCCUAGCUGUCCUGAACUCACUUUGUAGACCAGGCUUGCCUCGAACUCAGAAAUCCACCUGCCUCUGCCUCCCAAGUGCUGGGAUUAAAGGCAUGCACCACCACUGCCCAGCUCUCUUCUAAUUUUUGCAACACAUCUGCAUUUUCUUGAUGAGAUGCUGGAGAAGUGAGAGGUUAAGAAAGUUUCCUAAGGUCACAGACCCUUUUAAUGGCAACAGUUGGAAGGGAAGCCCAGUCCCUCCCUUGGCAUCAGUUUCUUUAGUGAUGUUAGACACUUUCUAAACACCAGUAACAUCUUGUAGUUACUUUCUUAUUUUCCACAAGCCAAGUAAGUGGUGAGAUCUUCAUUUCUGCCUACCUUCUCAACAUCGCAGAAGAUGCUACUUAAAGAUGCCCUUCCAUAUUGCAUGAAUACAAGAGGUGGCUCCACUCCUAAGUGUCAAGGCUGAGGGUCAUGCCUAUUUUUUUUUUUUUUUUAAUUAUAACAAGGCAGGGUGGGGGAAGGCGACGAGUGCCACGGUGUACGUGUGGACAUCAGAGGACAACCUGUGGAAAUCAGUUCUCUCCUUCACUAGAGACCAGGAAGAGAAACUGCUGCCACCCCUUAGACUGGCUACCUGUCUUCGUGAGUAUCCCGCCCCCUGCCCAAGCCACCUUGACACUUGGUCCUCCGGGAUGCUCCUAGAAGAGGAAGACCCUGCGUCUCAGGGACCCCCCUCCUGGGAAGAGCGGGCUGAUCCACACGGGGACAGGGACACAGGGCGCGCGGCCCGAGUCGGGAGCCCCGUUCCACGUGGCGGAGCCAAGUGGCAGCGAUCGAGGCGGGAGCGGGAAGCGCGGGAGGCCGGGUGGACGCUGCCCGGUGCGGAGAGUGGGCCCGGGCCCGGCAGGUUCCGGAGAGCGGCAGCUGGGCGGGCUGCAUCCCUUCGGCGCUCCCGUGAGCCGUGUCACUGGACAGCCGGCUGCCCGCCGUCGCCUCGGAGACCGCCCGGCCCCUCCGCGUACCCCUGGCCCCGCCGCCGCCUCCCGGGCCUACCUUGCUGGUGAGGUCCAGCUCCGGCUCGCCGUUGAGCGCCUCGCCGUCCUCGCUGCAGUCAGAAUCGAAGCCGCCAUGGAGUCGGGCCGCCGCGGCGGCGGCCCGAGCCGCCCCCGGAGAGCUGGGCUCGGGGGCGAACAUCGAGGCCGGCACCGGCGAGUCCACCGGGGAGCGACUCCGCUCCGCCGCCAUCUUUAAGAACUUAAGCUAAUUCGCAGCCGGCCGCCCGCCCUCCCUCCCUGGCUCAUUUAACUAAUUUAUGCUCGGCCCGCCCCCUUUGUUAGAAUAAUUUAUGCGCGGCUUCCCCCUCCUCCGGAGGCUGUCACGAAUCUCUAGCGGAGACACAGAUGACCCAGUCUCUCAUCUACCAAUCGUCGCAGCGCUCUCAAAUACUUUAAUAAAUAAUUAAUGAGACCCAAACCCUAACAACAAAUGUCGUAGUGGUCGGGAGCCUUGGUCCCACCUCUAGUGGGGCCAACACAGCGUGCACGCUACCUGCCUGGAUCCUUUCCGCCAACGGGAGCGAAGCAGAGGUUUGACUGACUUGACAACAAUCCAAUGAAAAGAGGCAUCCAUUCUUUACUCCCCACCUCACUUUCCAGAGGCGGGGCCAGCCUCCAAAUCAUACUGCAAAACAGUCCCGCCUGGAGCCUCUCAGAAUGAUGGACAAGGGCGGGACCCAAUCUUGUCCUCCCUAAGUCCCGCGCGUCUGGCCGCCGCACACCCAGAUAGUAAACUGCGAAAUGAGCCUGGCACUCUGAAUGAUUGAAGGCAGUUGCUGCAACACUGUGUCCGGCGUGCUGGCAUGCGCAAGGCAAUUUUUAUAGUAGAAUCGAUGCUAUGUAUUCCAGGAGUUGUAAUAUUAUAGCCGCCAGACCAAGACAAUUAAUUAAAUGCUGACCUUAGGGAGUUCCAUUCAUGACUCCUCGGAGAGCAACUGAGUGAACAGAAAAGAGAUGUUGACAGCCCAAACUCUAGCGUAAAUCCCCUCACCACGUUUUUGGUGAACAGCUGAGCCACAGGUCUAGGAUCUGUCAAGGUAGUUUCUUGUGGCUUAUUUUUCAGUUGCCACUUGUGGAAAGUCCCAGUCCAAAAAAAAAAAAAAAAAAAAAAAAAAAAAAAAAAAAAACGCCGUCCAUGUGCCUCAAAUUCCCGUUUCAAAUGUCUGAAAAUUUUAGACUAUUAGGUGAGUUCUGGUUUUUACCAAGAUCUAAUUAUGCUGGCUGGACCUGGCCACUCCUCCUGGUAAUAGAUUAAAAAAAGAGCAGUCGUCUGAGGAAGUACGAGAAAUUUAGGGAUCGGACCACAAGAUGUAUAUAGUAAGUAAGGAAAAGGGUACAAUAUAGCCGUCACCUAAUUCGGGGAGAGUCUUGUCCUCAUUUUUAACAACGUACCACCAAGUCUGUGAACAGAUGCUGCUGGAAACCUGACCUAAAUGGUUUGUUACUGAGAUUUGUUUUUAUUUUGUAUGAAUGGUGUGUGUGUGUGUGUGCCACCUUUGUGCGAGGCCUGUAGAGUCUAGAUGGGGCACCGGAACCUUUUGGACUAGAGUCGCAGACGAUUGUUAGCCUCCAUAGGGGUACUGGGAAUGCAACCCAGCUCUUCUGAACCUCUGAGCUAUAAUAUCUCCAGACCCAGAGAUUCGGACUCCUAAAGUGAGAGGCAGUCUUGUGGACCAGAACCCUAUAUCUGUGGAUUCUGACAGUAUCCCCAAGUAUUAAGAAUUCAACUGGAGGUUGCUCACUGCUUGGCUGGGGGUGAUCAGAGGUGACAGUUGUAUUGAUUCUAUUGCUUCGAUUGCUAUUUAGCAUUGUAUGGCCAGAAAGAGUUCAGUUUCAGAAUACAUUGCUAUCUGGCUGGGGGGAAAGAUUGUCCUUCUCACUAUAGGACUUUGCCUAGAAAGGAUAUAUAUUCUGAAUACUUGCUUUUCGAAUUGAAUGUUUUGGAGAAUAAAU
rnacentral:lncRNA from 1 species